UACGAAGGGUGCAAGCGUUACUCGGAAUUACUGGGCGUAAAGCGUGCGUAGGUGGUUCGUUAAGUCUGAUGUGAAAGCCCUGGGCUCAACCUGGGAAUGGCAUUGGAAACUGGCGAGCUAGAGUGCGGUAGAGGGUAGUGGAAUUCCCGGUGUAGCAGUGAAAUGCGUAGAUAUCGGAAGGAACACCAGUGGCGAAAGCGGCUUCCUGGUCCAGCACCGACGUUCAGGCACGAAAGCGUGGGGAGCAAACAGG
rnacentral:rRNA from 1 species